AAGUAGGGAGCAACAUGGUCUGUGCUUUUCAAUGCAACCAGCUCGAAAAUCAAUGUAAUGCAUUUCAGUACGCUCUUGAUACCUUGAUUUGUUCAGCUGCAAAGGUUGUUAUAUCCUCCCUUGAAAAUGUUGAAAAUGAAGAAGCAAUUGAUGUAUUUAUGGAAUAUGAAUUUUUGAAUAACCUGAGGAGUCAGACCACACCAACCUCGGUAA